rnacentral:rRNA from 1 species
UGGGGAAUUUUGGACAAUGGGCGAAAGCCUGAUCCAGCAAUGCCGCGUGUGUGAAGAAGGCCUUCGGGUUGUAAAGCACUUUUGUCCGGAAAGAAAUCCUUGGCUCUAAUACAGUCGGGGGAUGACGGUACCGGAAGAAUAAGCACCGGCUAACUACGUGCCAGCAGCCGCGGUAAUACGUAGGGUGCAAGCGUUAAUCGGAAUUACUGGGCGUAAAGCGUGCGCAGGCGGUUUGCUAAGACCGAUGUGAAAUCCCCGGGCUCAACCUGGGAACUGCAUUGGUGACUGGCAGGCUAGAGUAUGGCAGAGGGGGGUAGAAUUCCACGUGUAGCAGUGAAAUGCGUAGAGAUGUGGAGGAAUACCGAUGGCGAAGGCAGCCCCCCUGGGGCCAAAUACUGACGCUCAUGCACGAAAGCGUGGGGAGCAAACAGGAUUAGAUACCCUGGUAGUCCACGCCCUAAACGAUGUCAACUAGUUGUUGGGGAUUCAUUUCCUUAGUAACGUAGCUAACGCGUGAAGUUGACCGCCUGGGGAGUACGGUCGCAAGAUUAAAACUCAAAUGAAUUGACGGGGUCAUAGCUGUUUCCU